rnacentral:rRNA from 1 species
AUGACAGGGAGAAGGAGGAGGCUGUUGAGGAGUGCAAGCAGAAGGUUUCCGGUGACUGGAAGUCUGAAACUGAAGACAGGGCAUAUUGUUUUGGUUAUGAGUGGUUGGAAAUAUUGUGGCUUGAUGUCCCUAGAGCAGUCAGACCCUUCCAAGAUAGGUGUUAAAAUCCUAGGUGCCAAGGGCAUUGUGGUGGUGCAAUCCAUGUCUCCUGCGAGCGCUCGGCAUGGCGUCCAUAGCCCCAAAGAGCAAGGCUUCAAGGGGAGGAGGGAGGUAAGCGUGGAUGCAAUGGAUAUUGUUCGGAUAAAAAGUUGGGUGGAAACUGAGUAG